UCUCAGACACAUUUACUUGGCCUAUUCGGUGUUUCUAAGAGCACCGUUGGAUUAGCUGCGGUAUUUUAAAGUGGGAGCCUUUGCAUAAAAAUCUGGAGCUCUGCUGGGUUUGGGCUUUCCAAAACCAAGCUCUUAAUGAUGGAUUGCCUUUUUGUUCUAAUCGAUGUCAUCUGGAAAGAUCCCAUGAAAUCCUAAGUAGUGGUUUAGAACAUACAGCUGUGCAAAGGCAGAGGAAGGAUGAUAUUCCCACGGCCAGCAACUACCCUCGGCAAGACCACGGCUCAGGAGCUGAUGUGUUUUGGCUUUGGGCCCCUGAAUAUACCGCCUGCUUCCAGCUGUUUGAGGCCAGGUGGCCCCAAGCCGGGAAACAUACACAGAUGUAAAUGAAAACAAAACACAUCACGGGAAAUGGGCCACAUUCUUUUCCUCUACAGUUAUGGGAGUUCGUGCAUGAUGAACAGAGAGGCUGAAGGCCUGGAUGAACAUUGAUCAACUGAUUUGGCAAAUAAUGUUUCCAUUAUGGAAUGUACAAUGGAGCUUCUCCCAACUGGGCUAGUGUUUUGCUCAACAAAGCAAUAUUUUUUUGCAAGUGAAGCUUAAUCAUUUAAUGAUGGUUAUUUUACUGUGUUUUGGGGGAGAGGGAUAAUCUUUUGUAUACCCUCUCAAUGGGAUCCUUGACCAGCCCUUCUGAAAACUGGGGAGGUUAGAAAAUUCACAGGAGAAAAAUACAGAAGCAAAUCACUAUUGUCAGAGUACUUGGUUAUACUUGACCAAAUUUGCUUAAAGGGCAGCUCCAUUGGU